UACGAGGGGGGCUAGCGUUGCUCGGAAUUACUGGGCGUAAAGGGCGCGUAGGCGGACAGUUUAGUCAGAGGUGAAAGCCCAGGGCUCAACCUUGGAAUUGCCUUUGAUACUGACUGUCUUGAGUUCGGGAGAGGUGAGUGGAAUGCCGAGUGUAGAGGUGAAAUUCGUAGAUAUUCGGCGGAACACCAGUGGCGAAGGCGACUCACUGGCCCGAUGCUGACGCUGAGGCGCGAAAGCGUGGGGAGCAAACAGG
rnacentral:rRNA from 1 species